ACGGGAGGCAGCAGUGGGGAGUAUUGCACAAUGGGCGAAAGCCUGAUGCAGCGACGCCGCGUGAGCGAAGAAGUAUUUCGGUAUGUAAAGCUCUAUCAGCAGGGAAGAUAAUGACGGUACCUGACUAAGAAGCACCGGCUAAAUACGUGCCAGCAGCCGCGGUAAUACGUAUGGUGCAAGCGUUAUCCGGAUUUACUGGGUGUAAAGGGAGCGUAGACGGCUUUGCAAGUCUGAUGUGAAAGCCCGGGGCCCAACCCCGGAACUGCAUUGGAAACUGUAGAGCUAGAGUGCAGGAGAGGUAAGUGGAAUUCCUAGUGUAGCGGUGAAAUGCGUAGAUAUUAGGAGGAACACCAGUGGCGAAGGCGGCUUACUGGACUGUAACUGACGUUGAGGCUCGAAAGCGUGGGGAGCAAACAGGAUUAGAUACCCUGGUA
rnacentral:rRNA from 1 species